UACGUAGGGGGCAAGCGUUGUCCGGAUUUAUUGGGCGUAAAGAGCGUGUAGGCGGCCAGAUAGGUCCGUUGUGAAAACUGGAGGCUUAACCUCCAGCGGUCGAUGGAAACCAUCUGGCUAGAGUCCGGAAGAGGAGAGUGGAAUUCCUGGUGUAGCGGUGAAAUGCGCAGAUAUCAGGAAGAACACCCGUGGCGAAGGCAGCUCGCUGGGACGGUACUGACACUGAGACGCGAAAGCGUGGGGAGCAAACAGG
rnacentral:rRNA from 1 species